rnacentral:rRNA from 1 species
AACGAACGCUGGCGGCAUGCCUAACACAUGCAAGUCGAACGAGACCAUAGUGUCUAGUGGCGCAUGGGUGCGUAAAGUGUGGGAACCUGCCCUUAGACUCCGGAUUACUCUCUGUAAGGGGUGCUAAUAUAGGAAAAUGUCCUCGGAUAAAAGAUUUAACGCGCUUGGAUGGGCCCGAGUUGGCUUAGCUUGUUGGGAGGGUAAAAGCCUACCACGGCGUCGAUCGAUAGCUGGUCUGAGAGAAACAACAGCCACACUGGGACUGAGACGCGGCCCAGACUCUUGCGGGAGGCAGCAGUGGGGAAUAUAGCACUAUGGCCGGAAUCCUGAUCCAGCAAUGCCGCGUGAGUGAUGAAGUCCUUAGGGUUGUAAAGCUCUUUUAUCCGGGAUGAUAAUGACGGUACCGGGAGAAUAAGCACCGGCUAACUCCGUG